GCAGUGCCCGGCGCCUCCACCACUUUCCAAAAGUGGGUGCGGGGGCGACACAGGCUCGACACGCGUGGUAAAGAGCUUCCUUUUGCCCGGCAUGAUACCGCCGUUAUCGGGUCAUAUCACAAGUGCCAAUGACAAUCAUGAGGCGCUCGCUCUCGCUGCGUAAGCAGUGAAAAGCGCGGUUCGGGGGGUACCGGGCAACAGAAACCCCCCACU
rnacentral:tmRNA from 1 species